rnacentral:rRNA from 1 species
GUCUAUGGUCAUGCUACUGUGAACAAGCCUGAUUCCCUCUGAUCUCGGAAGCUAAGCAGUGUUGAGCCUGGUUAGUACUUGGAUAGGAGACCACCUAGGACGACCAGGUGCUAUAGGUG